rnacentral:rRNA from 1 species
GACGAACGCUGGCGGCGUGCUUAACACAUGCAAGUCGAACGGUGAAGCUCCAGCUUGCUGGAGUGGAUCAGUGGCGAACGGGUGAGUAACACGUGAGCAACCUGCCCCUGACUCUGGAAUAAGCGCUGGAAACGGCGUCUAAUACUGGAUACGAGAAGGGUCCGCAUGGGCACUUUCUGGAAAGUUUUUCGGUUGGGGAUGGGCUCGCGGCCUAUCAGCUUGUUGGUGAGGUAAUGGCUCACCAAGGCGACGACGGGUAGCCGGCCUGAGAGGGCGACCGGCCACACUGGGACUGAGACACGGGCCAGACUCCUACGGGAGGCAGCAGUGAGGAAUAUUGGACAAUGGGCGAAAGCCGGAUGCAGCGACGCCGCGUGAGGGAUGACGGCCUUCGGGUUGUAAACCUCUUUCAGCAGGGAAGAAGCGAAAGUGACGGUACCUGCAGAAGAAGCACCGGCUAACUACGUG